UAGGGUGCCAGCGUUGUCCGGAAUUCUUGGGCGUAAAGCGCUCGUAGGCGGUCUGUCGCGUCGGCUGUGAAAACUCGGGGCUCAACUCCGAGCCUGCAGUCGAUACGGGCAGACUAGAGUGCUGUAGGGGAGACUGGAAUUCCUGGUGUAGCGGUGAAAUGCGCAGAUAUCAGGAGGAACACCGGUGGCGAAGGCGGGUCUCUGGGCAGUAACUGACGCUGAGGAGCGAAAGCGUGGGGAGCGAACAGG
rnacentral:rRNA from 1 species